rnacentral:rRNA from 1 species
AUUGAACGCCGGCGGAAUGCUUUACACAUGCAAGUCGAACGGCAGCACGGGGGCAACCCUGGUGGCGAGUGGCGAACGGGUGAGUAAUACAUCGGAACGUGCCCAGUCGUGGGGGAUAACGUAGCGAAAGCUACGCUAAUACCGCAUACGAUCUACGGAUGAAAGCGGGGGAUCGCAAGACCUCGCGCGAUUGGAGCGGCCGAUGGCAGAUUAGGUAGUUGGUGGGGUAAAGGCUCACCAAGCCUGCGAUCUGUAGCUGGUCUGAGAGGACGACCAGCCACACUGGGACUGAGACACGGCCCAGACUCCUACGGGAGGCAGCAGUGGGGAAUUUUGGACAAUGGGCGCAAGCCUGAUCCAGCCAUUCCGCGUGCAGGAUGAAGGCCUUCGGGUUGUAAACUGCUUUUGUACGGAACGAAAAGGCUCCUUCUAAUACAGGGGGCUCAUGACGGUACCGUAAGAAUAAGCACCGGCUAACUACGUGCCAGCCGCCGCAGUAAGAC